rnacentral:rRNA from 7 species
AAAUUGAAGAGUUUGAUCAUGGCUCAGAUUGAACGCUGGCGGCAGGCCUAACACAUGCAAGUCGAACGGUAACAGGAAGCAGCUUGCUGCUUCGCUGACGAGUGGCGGACGGGUGAGUAAUGUCUGGGAAACUGCCUGAUGGAGGGGGAUAACUACUGGAAACGGUGGCUAAUACCGCAUAACGUCGCAAGACCAAAGAGGGGGACCUUCGGGCCUCUUGCCAUCAGAUGUGCCCAGAUGGGAUUAGCUUGUUGGUGAGGUAACGGCUCACCAAGGCGACGAUCCCUAGCUGGUCUGAGAGGAUGACCAGCCACACUGGAACUGAGACACGGUCCAGACUCCUACGGGAGGCAGCAGUGGGGAAUAUUGCACAAUGGGCGCAAGCCUGAUGCAGCCAUGCCGCGUGUAUGAAGAAGGCCUUCGGGUUGUAAAGUACUUUCAGCGGGGAGGAAGGUGUUGUGGUUAAUAACCACAGCAAUUGACGUUACCCGCAGAAGAAGCACCGGCUAACUCCGUGCCAGCAGCCGCGGUAAUACGGAGGGUGCAAGCGUUAAUCGGAAUUACUGGGCGUAAAGCGCACGCAGGCGGUCUGUCAAGUCGGAUGUGAAAUCCCCGGGCUCAACCUGGGAACUGCAUUCGAAACUGGCAGGCUUGAGUCUUGUAGAGGGGGGUAGAAUUCCAGGUGUAGCGGUGAAAUGCGUAGAGAUCUGGAGGAAUACCGGUGGCGAAGGCGGCCCCCUGGACAAAGACUGACGCUCAGGUGCGAAAGCGUGGGGAGCAAACAGGAUUAGAUACCCUGGUAGUCCACGCCGUAAACGAUGUCUACUUGGAGGUUGUGCCCUUGAGGCGUGGCUUCCGGAGCUAACGCGUUAAGUAGACCGCCUGGGGAGUACGGCCGCAAGGUUAAAACUCAAAUGAAUUGACGGGGGCCCGCACAAGCGGUGGAGCAUGUGGUUUAAUUCGAUGCAACGCGAAGAACCUUACCUGGUCUUGACAUCCACAGAACUUUCCAGAGAUGGAUUGGUGCCUUCGGGAACUGUGAGACAGGUGCUGCAUGGCUGUCGUCAGCUCGUGUUGUGAAAUGUUGGGUUAAGUCCCGCAACGAGCGCAACCCUUAUCCUUUGUUGCCAGCGGUUAGGCCGGGAACUCAAAGGAGACUGCCAGUGAUAAACUGGAGGAAGGUGGGGAUGACGUCAAGUCAUCAUGGCCCUUACGACCAGGGCUACACACGUGCUACAAUGGCGCAUACAAAGAGAAGCGACCUCGCGAGAGCAAGCGGACCUCAUAAAGUGCGUCGUAGUCCGGAUUGGAGUCUGCAACUCGACUCCAUGAAGUCGGAAUCGCUAGUAAUCGUGGAUCAGAAUGCCACGGUGAAUACGUUCCCGGGCCUUGUACACACCGCCCGUCACACCAUGGGAGUGGGUUGCAAAAGAAGUAGGUAGCUUAACCUUCGGGAGGGCGCUUACCACUUUGUGAUUCAUGACUGGGGUGAAGUCGUAACAAGGUAACCGUAGGGGAACCUGCGGUUGGAUCACCUCCUUA